AGUGAACGCUGGCGGUAGGCCUAACACAUGCAAGUCGAACGGCAGCACAGAGGAGCUUGCUCCUUGGGUGGCGAGUGGCGGACGGGUGAGGAAUACAUCGGAAUCUACUCUGUCGUGGGGGAUAACGUGGGGAAACUUACGCUAAUACCGCAUACGACCUACGGGUGAAAGCAGGGGAUCUUCGGACCCUGCGCGAUUGAAUGAGCCGAUGUCGGAUUAGCUAGUUGGCGGGGUAAAGGCCCACCAAGGCGACGAUCCGUAGCUGGUCUGAGAGGAUGAUCAGCCACACUGGAACUGAGACACGGUCCAGACUCCUACGGGAGGCAGCAGUGGGGAAUAUUGGACAAUGGGCGCAAGCCUGAUCCAGCCAUACCGCGUGGGUGAAGAAGGCCUUCGGGUUGUAAAGCCCUUUUGUUGGGAAAGAAAUCCAUCUGGUUAAUACCCGGGUGGGAUGACGGUACCCAAAGAAUAAGCACCAGCUAACUUCGUGCCAGCAGCCGCCGUAACAC
rnacentral:rRNA from 1 species